CCCUGGUUAGCUCAGUUGGUAGAGCACUCCACCUGUAAUGGAGAAGGUCCCGGGUUCGAUACCCGGACCAGGCG
rnacentral:tRNA from 1 species